UACGUAGGGGGCAAGCGUUGUCCGGAAUCAUUGGGCGUAAAGCGCGCGUAGGCGGCCCUGUAAGUCCGCUGUAAAAGUCAAAGGCUCAACCUUUGAAAGCCGGUGGAUACUGCGGGGCUAGAGUCCGGAAGAGGCGAGUGGAAUUCCUGGUGUAGCGGUGGAAUGCGCAGAUAUCAGGAGGAACACCAACGGCGAAAGCACUCUGCUGGGCCGACACUGACACUGAGAGACGAAAGCUAGGGGAGCGAAUGGG
rnacentral:rRNA from 1 species